AGCGAACGCUGGCGGCAUGCCUAACACAUGCCAGUCGAACGAGACCUUCGUAUCUGCUGGCUCUCGGGUGCGUAACGCGUGGGAACCUGCCGUUAGACUCCGAAUUACACCCCUUCGUGGGUGCUAAUACAGGGUAAUGUAUGCUGAUAAAGGAUUUGACGUCUUUGGAUGGGCCGGCGUUGGUUUGGCCAGUUGGUAGGGUAAAAGCCUACCAAGGCGACGAUCCUUAGCUGGUCUGAGAGGAUGAGCAGCCACACUGGGUCUGAGACACGGCCCAGACAUCUACGGGAGGCAGCAGUGGGGAAUAUUGGACAAUGGGCGAAAGCCUGAUCCAGCAAUGCCGCGUGAGUGAUGAAUGCCUUAGGGUUGUAAAGCCCUUUUACCCGGGAUGAGAAUGACAGUAACGGGAGAAUAAGCUCCGGCUAACUCCGUG
rnacentral:rRNA from 1 species